GACGAAGGUGGCGAGCGUUGUUCGGAAUCACUGGGCAUAAAGCGCACGUAGGCGGCGACGUAAGUUGGGUGUGAAAUCCCUCGGCCCAACCGAGGAACUGCGCCCAGUACUGCGUUGCUUGAGGAUCCAAGGGGUGCAUGGAAUUCCCGGUGGAGCGGUGAAAUGCGUUGAUAUCGGGAGGAACUCCGGUGGCGAAGGCGGCGAUCUGGGUAGAUACUGACGCUGAGGUGCGAAAGCGUGGGGAGCAAACAGG
rnacentral:rRNA from 1 species